rnacentral:rRNA from 1 species
CAGCCGCCGCGGUAAUACGUAGGUGGCAAGCGUUGUCCGGAAUUAUUGGGCGUAAAGGGCUCGCAGGCGGUUUCUUAAGUCUGAUGUGAAAGCCCCCGCCUCAACCGGGGAGGGUCAUUGGAAACUGGGAAACUUGAGUGCAGAAGAGGAGAGUGGAAUUCCACGUGUAGCGGUGAAAUGCGUAGAGAUGUGGAGGAACACCAGUGGCGAAGGCGACUCUCUGGUCUGUAACUGACGCUGAGGAGCGAAAGCGUGGGGAGCGAACAGGAUUAGAUACCCCAGUAGUCCCUGUCUCUUAUAC